UCAAAAUUCGCCAAUAAAUCAAAUUACCAAUGAUUUACUAAUGGUAAAAAUUUUAUUAAUAAAAUAUUCAUUAAUAUAUUUAAUGGUCAAUAAAAAAUAUGUUAAUAAUUAUUGAUAACCAAAAUAAUUUGGUGAUUACUAACAAAAAAAGUUGUUGAUAAAUAUCCAUUGAUAAGGGAUGAAUUUUUUCCAUCAAUAAAUUUGUUGUAAAUAUCGUAAUUUGGUUUUUCUUUUUAUUCUUUUCUUUUUUUUUUCUUUUUUUUUUCUUUAUCUUUUUCCUCCUCUCAUACAUUUCUUUUUUUAACAACAUCAUUAAUCCGACGUUGUCGUCGUCAUUUCUAGUUCUCGUGUCUUCUUCUUUCUUCUUUUUCUUCUCAUCAUCCUCUUUGUAUUGUUGUUGUCACUUUGAUUGCCUUAGACUCCUCUCUAUCUCCUCCUCCUCCCUCUUCUUCUCCUUCUUCUUCUCUUCCUUCUUCUACAUUUUUUUUCCACAUCUCUAAUUAAUUUAUAAAAAUAUUUCAUCACAUUAGAACCAAAAUUUGACACACGAACUUUUUGCUAGUAACCA
rnacentral:lncRNA from 1 species